AUUGAACGCUGGCGGCAUGCUUUACACAUGCAAGUCGAACGGUAACAGGGAGCUUGCUCCGCUGACGAGUGGCGAACGGGUGAGUAAUGCGUCGGAACGUGCCGAGUAGUGGGGGAUAACGCAUCGAAAGGCGUGCUAAUACCGCAUACGUACUGAGGUAGAAAGUGGGGGACCUUCGGGCCUCACGCUAUUCGAGCGGCCGACGGCUGAUUAGCUAGGUGGUGAGGUAAAGGCCCACCAAGGCGACGAUCAGUAGCGGGUCUGAGAGGAUGAUCCGCCACGCUGGGACUGAGACACGGCCCAGACUCCUACGGGAGGCAGCAGUGGGGAAUUUUGGACAAUGGGCGCAAGCCUGAUCCAGCCAUGCCGCGUGUCUGAAGAAGGCCUUCGGGUUGUAAAGGGCUUUUGUCCGGGAGCAAAUGCUGGUGGCUAACAUCCACCGGAGCUGAGAGUACCGGAAGAAUAAGCACCGGCUAACUACGUGCCAGCCGCCGCCGUAAUAC
rnacentral:rRNA from 1 species